UGUUCCAUGUUCGUUUACUUGGUUUUUCAGCCCUGGCAGAUGUACACAGACUUCCGGUGCUUCUUCCGAGAGAUUCAGCUCUUUUUUCAUUUUUCAUUACUAAGAAAAAAAGUGAAUGCACAUAUUUAC
ensembl:ncRNA T03G11.16 ncRNA